GAGAAAGUCAUAAAGGUUAUGGGGUUGACUUGAGAUUAAUCUAAGGGGGUUCAAUUCCUCCCUUUCUUA
rnacentral:tRNA from 1 species